rnacentral:lncRNA from 1 species
CUCCCCAUACUCUAUUCUUUUCUAUCUUUCUCUUUCUCUUGCUCUCCGUUGCUUUUUCCAUUUCAUACAAUACACGUAUACAAACAGAAAUUCUGAUUCAACGCACGUACACGCAUAUACACGAGGACAGAGAGAGAAUUUCGAGACAAUUUUCUUCACCUUUCCAAUUAAAUUCUUUUUUUUUCCCCAAUUCAACCCCUGUAAAAUACAUUCCUUUCUUCGUCUUCCCUUUUUAUUUCUCUCUUCGUUUUUAUCGUUCUUCUUUUGUUUUAUUCUUCUUCUUUCUGGUGCAUAAUACGCGAGAAUGAUCGUCGGGAUUUUUUCCUAUCGUGUGUGUUUGACAAUCGUGAAGAAGAGAUAAAACCUCGUGGACAAGAACGUCAACUGUGGAACCUUCGUCUCUGCCCGUUUUCGUUCGAGGAGACGCAUAGCUCUUCUUUUGGACCAAAGGUCCACCUGGUAGUAACGGUACGCGGUCAGUAAUGACAAAGAUAUUAAAAACUUAGAUAAAAAGAAGACAUUACGAUCUCGAUUAAAAA